GCCGCGUGGAGCACGCCAGCCUGCCGGAGCCCGGCCUCUUCUCCUGGGAGCCGCCCAGCUCCCUGCUGCCCGUCGUCCUCAGGGCGGUCGUUGCUGUGUUCAUCGUCAUCGCGGUGAUCGCCAUCUUUGUGGUGUGGAAGAGCAGAUGGGGUAAAGCGCUGGGGUUGGGGAGGCGGGGGGAGGGAGGCCGGGAGGAGAAGGGGCCCGAGCCGGCACCCCAGGGCUUCCGGCCGGCCAGGCGGUGCAGCUGCGUCCCUGGGGGCUUCUGCCCGCUUCCCUGGCUGCGGGAGGGGGGAUUUAGCCCCGCAGCGCAGCUCCCGUGGGGGACGGCGACGCCAGGCUGGGACCCGCAGGACAGGGCACGGACAGGGGUGCUGGGACACCCCCCGCCCCCUGCACCUCUGCUUUAUUGAUUUUUCCUCUCUCGCCCUUGCAGGAAGCAACGCCGCCAUUUAAGCACUCCGUCCUGGUAAGAGAGGGGCCGCGGCCGGACCCGGCGGCGUGGCAGCGGGGGCCCAGCCCGCCCGAGCGCUCGCCAUCUCCUCGCUGCAGCUCCUGGGACGCCACGAAGCCCCCUCAGCUCCCGUGGCGCGGGAGCAGCAGCACCCGACGCCCCGCUCAAGGCUAAACCCGCCCCGUUUGGGCGCUCGGGCGCUGCGGGGUGCAGGUGGGCAUGCGGGGGUGGGUCAGGGGGCUCAGGCUUUUGUCUCACCGCACCUUGGAUCUGCUCCCUGGCUGUGACGUGCUGCAAAAAGCUGUGAAGUUGGCGGGAAGCCCCCGGAGAAGAGGAGCGCUCGGAGCCUGCUCCCGCCGUGGUCCCAGCUUUGAGCUGGGGUAAAACUCACCGGUUUAUCGGUGCGUGAGGCAGGGUUUCCAUCUGCCGGUUGCCUGGGAAAUAGAGAAUUUGCUGUAUUUUUUCAGCCCUUGUCCUGGUGGCUUUCUCUGAACAAGAACACUUUCUGCAGUGGCUCUCUUUGAACAAGAACGCCGUUUCUGCGGUGGCGCUCUCUGACCAAGAACGCUGUUUUUUUGGUGCAUCUCGUUGCACAGGAACGUUGUUUUUAG
rnacentral:lncRNA from 1 species